rnacentral:rRNA from 1 species
AGUCGAGGGGCAGCGAGAUGUAGCAAUACGUCGUCGGCGACCGGCGAAUGGGUGAGUAACACGUAUGCAACUUACCUCUUAGUGGUGAAUAACUCGAUGAAAGUCGGACUAAUACACCAUACUCUCCUUAGAUCACAUGAGAAGAGGAGGAAAGAUUAAUCGCUAAGAGAUAGGCCUGCGUUCCAUUAGCUAGUUGGUAAGGUAACGGCUUACCAAGGCAACGAUGGAUAGGGGGACUGAGAGGUUGACCCCCCACAUUGACACUGAGAUACGGGUCAAACUCCUACGGGAGGCAGCAGUGAGGAAUAUUGGUCAAUGGGCGAGAGCCUGAACCAGCCAAGUCGCGUGAAGGAAGACUGCCCGCAAGGGUUGUAAACUUCUUUUGUAUGGGAUUAAAGUCGUCUACGUGUAGACGUUUGCAGUUACCAUACGAAUAAGCAUCGGCUAACUCCGUGCCAGCAGCCGCGGUAAUACGGAGGAUGCGAGCGUUAUCCGGAAUUAUUGGGUUUAAAGGGUGCGUAGGUUGCAAGGGAAGUCAGGGGUGAAAAGCUAUAGCUCA